GACCACCUCUCUCUCUCUAAAAUCAGAUUACCAACAAAAGGCACAAAAGGAUCAGAUCAACCACCUCUCUCUCUCUAAAAUCAGAUUACCAACAAAAGGCACAAAAGGAUCAGAUCAACCACUUCUCUCUGUAUGUAAAAUCAUAUUACCAAAAAAAGUAGUGGGCCUCUACUCAGACUUUAUGAAAUAGGCUAGCUCUACAACUCUUACAGAGAACAACAGUCAAUUGGCCCCAUAUUUUAAGGUGAUUACCUAUCACAAUCUCACAUUAUUUAUGGUGGAUUAUCAUUCACAUAUUUUAAGGUGAUUACCUAUCACAAUCUCACAUUAUUUGUGGUGGAUUAUCUAUCACAAUCUCACUUUGUUUUCAAAUAUGUAGAUUUUCCUAAUAACAUGCUUACUACCUUCUUUAUGGUGAAUUUAAAUAGGAUUGCUUUGGUGCAAUCGAUGGGACAUACAUCCCAGCCCAUAUUCCUACUCACGAGCAUGCAAGAUUUCGUAACAUGAAGCAAUUUAUAUCACAAAAUGUUAUGGUAGCAGUUUCUUUUGAUAUGAAAUUCUAAUAUGUACUUGCUGGUUAGGAAGGAUCUACAUCUGAUGCACGAGUACUGCACUCUGCACUCAGUAGAGAAAAUAGGCUAGUUGUUCCCAAGGGAAAGUAUUAUAUUGUGGAUACUGGAAAUUGUAACACAACUGGUUUCCUCGCUCCAUAUUGCCAUACUCGGUAUCUCUUGGAUGCUUUUAAGACUAGUUCUGCCCCUCAAUCUACUAGAGAAAUUAUUCAACCUAUGCCAUUCAUCGUUGAGGAAUAUUGUAGAACGUGCUUUUGGAGUGAUAAACGGGCGUUUCCCUAUCCACAAAAUACCACCAAUGUACAGUGUUCAAUCACAAGCUAAGAUUGUCAUAGCUUGCCUAGCCUCAUCAGGGAGGUAGAGCGUGAUCAAUUUGACAUGGAUAAUAUUGAGGAAGUGGGGA